rnacentral:hammerhead_ribozyme from 1 species
AUUUGCUGACGAGUCCCAAAUAGAAAGAAAUGCGCGUCCUGAAU